rnacentral:rRNA from 1 species
GUACACGCUGUACUAGCAUAUCAAUAAGCGGAGGAAAAGAAACUAACAAGGAUUCCCCUAGUAACGGCGAGUGAAGCGGGAAGAGCUCAAAUUUGAAAUCUUAAAGGGUUUCCCUUUACGAAUUGUAGUUUAAAGAAGUGUUUUCCUGUUGAGGUUUUGGUAAAAGUUCUUUGGAAUAGGACGUCAUAGAGGGUGAGAAUCCCGUAUUUGACCUUUACUUUCAACUUUGUGAUACACUUUCAAAGAGUCGGAUUGUUUGGGAAUGCAGUCCAAAAUGGGUGGUAAAUUUCAUCUAAAGCUAAAUAUUGGCGAGAGACCGAUAGCGAACAAGUACCGUGAGGGAAAGAUGAAAAGAACUUUGAAAAGAGAGUUAAACAGUACGUGAAAUUGUCAAAAGGGAAGCGUUUGACACCAGUGUUGUUUUUCUGAAAAUCAAUUAAAGAACUGUUUAUGCUAAGCUGUUUAGACUUUAUCAGCUAACUGUUUAGUUUUGAGCUUUUCUUUAAUGCACUUUUCAGUUAACAAGUCAACAUCAAUUUCUUUUGCUGUAAAAAAGCUUGAGGAAGGUGGCUUGAGAUUCGUCUUAAGUGUUUAUAGCCUCUUGCCUAUGCAGUCGGAGAGAUUGAGGUCUGCAGCGUAGAUCCUUCGGGGCUAAAUGCAUUUGUGCUAAGUUAUAGCAUUUCAUAGACAACUUGUUGACUAUGAUUUGUCUUGUAGCUUACUCGCUUAUGUUAUUUUACCUACGCUUAGGAUGUUGACGCGCGUGUGUGCGUG